rnacentral:other from 1 species
UCGCCUAAUCUUGAAGGUGUCAGCAGGAUGCCGACACGGAACAGGAAAGACCCAUGGAUUGGUCAUCUUCAGGAAGAAGAUUCGAUUAUUCAGGAUGAAUGAUUGGCAAGGAAAGCGAAGGACAUUGGCUGGAAGCUCAGUAACUAGGAUGGUUACACUACGGAAGGUUAAUGGACAACUUCAAGGACUGAGGCACGUCUGUCAGGAAGACAGAUAAAGGACACCGCUAGGAAGGCGAUGAUACGGAAAGUGCUGAAGGAUGCAGCUUACUAUCAGGGAAUAGAUGCAGGGAGCACCUAAAGUAGCCGGAUUGCUGCGAGUAAGAACCGACCCCACCAGGCGAGAGCUUGGUGGGGUUUUCUUUUGUC